UGGCGAACGGGUGAGUAACACGUGGGUGAUCUGCCUUGCACUUCGGGAUGAGCUUGGGAAACUGGGUCUAAUACCGGAUAGGACAGCUGUUUAGUGUCAGUUGUGGAAAGUUUUUUCGGUGCAAGAUGAGCUCGCGGCCUAUCAGCUUGUUGGUGGGGUAAUGGCCUACCAAGGCGUCGACGGGUAGCCGGCCUGAGAGGGUGGACGGCCACAUUGGGACUGAGAUACGGCCCAG
rnacentral:rRNA from 1 species